rnacentral:rRNA from 1 species
GAUCAUGGCUCAGAUUGAACGCUGGCGGCAGGCUUAACACAUGCAAGUCGAGCGGGGAAAGGUAGCUUGCUACCUGACCUAGCGGCGGACGGGUGAGUAAUGCUUAGGAAUCUGCCUAUUAGUGGGGGACAACAUCUCGAAAGGGAUGCUAAUACCGCAUACGUCCUACGGGAGAAAGCAGGGGACCUUCGGGCCUUGCGCUAAUAGAUGAGCCUAAGUCGGAUUAGCUAGUUGGUGGGGUAAAGG